ACAGAGAAAGAGUUUUUAUUACAUGAACUUCUCAGCACCUGAUUGCAUGGUGAUGCUAGAAAACGCGCCCCCCACAUCACCAUAAACCUCACUUUUUUUUCUUCCAACCACAAAAAGCUUUACUACUGAAUUAUCAAGAGAAAAAAAAAAUCUUCAAAUUUUUUCCAGACCCAGAAUUUCCUAGUGGCAAGAUCUACCUUAUAAUCCAAGAAAACAGGCAAGGAUCUUGAAAUCUUUGUGUGAAAUUAUUCCUGGAAGAAGCUCUGUGAUAACUUGACCUGGAACACAGCCCAGGAGCCAUCAGCCUCUCGGGAUGUUCAACGUCCAGCUGGGAAGGGUAGGGUUGGAAGGUUCAACUCGCCAGAGCAAGUGGGCCAAGUAGGGUUUUCGGUAAGUUACGGAAAGCGGCAAACCCAAACAUGUGAAGGGAGAUAGGGCAGCAUACAACGAAAAACCCAAAUCUUGACUUUUUCCGUGUUUCAUCUAAAAUGUCUCUAUAUUGAAACUUCCACAGAUCCCCGGCAGACGUGCACCCUGUCACACCGUCGGAUGUACAUCAGUUAGGAUGCUUUCGCCGAUACUCAGCAGCAUGGACCUGUUAACCUGAAAAUACCCGGUUGCGAUCUGAAUGUGUGUGUCAGCUCCUGUCUCCUCCCUGGGCCCAGGCGAGCCCAGCGCAGACUGAGGCUGAGAUGACCAUCUUCUUGCUGUGUCCCCACGUGGUCUUUCCUCUGUGCACACGUGCUCCUGUUGUACCUUCUUAUGAGGACAUCUGCCCUACCGGAUUAGGGUCCCACUCUAAGGCUCGUUUAAGCUUAAUUUCCUCCUUAAGGGUCCUGUCUCCAAAUACAGUCACAUUGGGGGUUGGGGCUUCAACAAAUUAAUCUGGGAGGGACACAGUUCAGUCCACAGAAAGUGUCUAACACACAGGGAAUAGGUCCUCCAUAAGCACUUUCUUUGGUGAUACGCAUCCUCUUUUGCCCUUUGCCCUUUAUGUUUCUGCGCCACCCUUUACCCCUCUGCAAUCACCUCCUAAACUAAGCACUAUGGCUUCUGGUCUAUCGAGGGAGCAGCACUGUGUGCAGCUGCAGACUAGGAAUCUCAGUGCCAGAGUUCAGCUGCGCUCUGGUCCCAAACAUCUAUGUGACC